AGCGAACGCUGGCGGCAGGCUUAACACAUGCAAGUCGAACGAUCCCUUCGGGGAUAGUGGCGGACGGGUGAGUAACACGUGGGAACGUGCCUUUUGGUUCGGAACAACACAGGGAAACUUGUGCUAAUACCGGAUAAGCCCUUCGGGGAAGGAUUAUCGCCAUUAGAGCGGCCCGCGUCUGAUUAGCUAGUUGGUGAGGUAAAGGCUCACCAAGGCUACGAUCAGUAGCUGGUCUGAGAGGAUGAUCAGCCACACUGGGACUGAGACACGGCCCAGACUCCUACGGGAGGCAGCAGUGGGGAAUCUUGCGCAAUGGGGGAAACCCUGACGCAGCCAUGCCGCGUGAAUGAUGAAGGUCUUAGGAUUGUAAAUUACUUUCAGCGGGGACGGAUAAUGACGGUACCCGCAGAAGAAGCUCCGGCU
rnacentral:rRNA from 1 species